UACGUAGGGACCGAGCGUUGUCCGGAUUCAUUGGGCGUAAAGAGCUCGUAGGCGGCUGUUCAAGUCGAACGUGAAAACUCGGGGCUCAACUCCGAGCCUGCGUUCGAUACUGGACGGCUAGAGUCUGGUAGGGGGAUCUGGAAUUCCCAGUGUAGCGGUGAAAUGCGUAGAUAUUGGGAGGAACACCAGUGGCGAAGGCGGCUCACUGGACCGGUACUGACGCUGAGGCACGAAAGCGUGGGGAGCAAACAGG
rnacentral:rRNA from 1 species